rnacentral:lncRNA from 1 species
GUUUGGGCUCUGAAUUUUUUCUUCAUCUAAUGAGUAGGUUCAGAAUAUGUAGACCUGUGCUAAUUAUUAAAGGAUAUUUUAAAACAUACUAAGUUGUGACUAUAUACGGAUAUACAUAAUAACUGUUAGUGUUAGUUUUACUUGUCAAUUUAACACAAUCUAGAAUUACCUGAAAAGACAGUCUUAAUGAGGGAUUAUCUGGAUCCGUCUGACCUGUGUCUAUGAGGGACUGUCUUCAUUAAAUUAACUGAUAUGGAAAGACAUAGUCCACUGUGAGUGGCACCGUUUCCUUCAUUUAUUUGGGUCCUGGACCAUAUAAGAGCAGAGACAAUAGGCUGAGCUGUAAACAUGCAAGCAUUCAAUUCUCUUUUAGUAAGGAUUCGAUGUGACCUAAAGUCCAAUAUGACUGAAGUUCCUGCUUCCUUGGGUUCCCUUCUAGAAAGGACUGAAAUAAAUUUUUCUUCUUUUAAAGUUGUUCUUUGUCAGGGUAUUGUAUCACUGCAACCAGAAAUGAUAGCAAUACAGAAAUUCACUGUAAGUCUUCAAGAUGCUAAGUUUUAAACAGUUAAGGACAAAAGUGAGGACCAGCCAGAUGGCUUAGCAGAUCGGGAGGGCUUGUAGCCAAACCUGACAACACUUCAGUCGCAGGAAUCCACAUGAUGGAGAAACUGUCCCUCAAGUUGUCACCUUACCAUGACACGUGCUGUAGUAUAAAGCACAAAUUCCAUAAAUGAGGAAAAUGAGAUUUAAAUGGAAUUCCUAGGUGUUGUGCUUACAUGUCCAAGUUUUAGUUAAGUUAGGCUGAGGGUAUCACCAUACUUCAUAUUGUGUUAAUAUUACGCAAUCCUGUUUUAACCUUUUUAAACAAAUGAGUACCUGUCGAGACAGUAAAACAAGCAUGUCCUGACUGACCAGGAAGAGUCAGUGACUCCAUAUGACGAAGGCUCCAGCCUUAGCCACUAGAAAAUUGGACUGAAAUGAGGACUGGGAGCAACUCGGAGACAGUUGAGGCAUACAGGUCUGGGUGCCAGAAGAUGGACAUGGCCUAUGGGUGGAAGGAUUUGGAUGCAUGGAUAAAACAAGGAGGGGGUCACUGCGCAGACUCGGGAGCCUUUGCCACGUUCUUAGAACUCUGUCCAUGAACAAGUUCCUUGGC